AGUGAACGCUGGCGGUGGGCCUAACACAUGCAAGUCGAACGGCCGCACAGUAAGAGCUUGCUCUUACGGGUGGCGACUGGCGGACGGGUGAGGAAUACAUCGGAAUCUACUUUUUCGUGGGGGAUUACGUAGGGCCACUUACGCUAAUACCGCAUACGUCCUACGGGUGAAAGCAGGGGAUCUUCGGACCUUGCGCGAUUGAAUGAGCCGAUGUCGGAUUAGCUAGUUGGCGGGGUAAAGGCCCACCAAGGCGACGAUCCGUAGCUGGUCUGAGAGGAUGAUCAGCCACACUGGAACUGAGACACGGUCCAGACUCCUACGGGAGGCAGCAGUGGGGAAUAUUGGACAAUGGGCGCAAGCCUGAUCCAGCCAUACCGCGUGGGUGAAGAAGGCCUUCGGAUUGUAAAGCCCUGUUGUUGGGAAAGAAAAGCAGCAGGUUAAUACCCCGCUGUUCUGACGGUACCCAAAGAAUAAGCACCGGCUAACUUCGUG
rnacentral:rRNA from 1 species